UAGCCGUAAACGAUACUCGCUAGGUGUCGGCCACGGUGCGACCGUUGUCGGUGCCGUAGGGAAGCCGUGAAGCGAGCCACCUGGGAAGUACGGCCGCAAGGCUGAAACUUAAAGGAAUUGGCGGGGGAGGCACAACAACGGGUGGGAGCUUGCGGUUUAAUUUGGAUUCAACGCCGGACAACUCACCAGGAGCGACGGUUACAUGAAGGCCAGGCUGAUGACCUUGCCUGAUUUUCCGUAGAGGAGGUGCAUGGCGUAGUCGUGU
rnacentral:rRNA from 1 species